CCUACGGGAGGCAGCAGUGAGGAAUAUUGGUCAAUGGACGCAAGUCUGAACCAGCCAUGCCGCGUGCAGGAAGACUGCUCUAUGAGUUGUAAACUGCUUUUGUACGAGGGUAAACUCAGAUACGUGUACUUCUCUGCAUGUAUCGUACGAAUAAGGAUCGGCUAACUCCGUGCCAGCAGCCGCGGUAAUACGGAGGAUUCAAGCGUUAUCCGGAUUUAUUGGGUUUAAAGGGUGCGUAGGCGGUGGGAUAAGUUAGUGGUGAAAUCCCGAGGCUCAACUGCGGAAUUGCCUCUGAUACUGUUAGGCUAGAGAGUAGUAGCGGUAGGCGGAAUGUAUGGUGUAGCGGUGAAAUGCUUAGAGAUCAUACAGAACACCGAUUGCGAAGGCAGCUUACCAGGCUACAUCUGACGUUGAGGCACGAAAGCGUGGGGAGCAAACAGGAUUAGAUACCCCGGUAGUC
rnacentral:rRNA from 1 species